GAUGGAAAAUUUGUCGGGUUUUUAAUUACUGUACAAAAUUUCAGACAAUUUGGUUUAGUUUAAGUCCUUUAACUAUUCAUUUUGUUCUAAAAAGUCAGCCUUUCGCAUGCUUAAUUAAUGCCUUUACCUAAUUUGCAUAUUGCUGACAUAUGCAAAUUAGGCAAAUGCAUUAAUUAAGCAUGCAAAUCGCUGAUUUUUCGGGAAAAUUGUAACUUUGCGUGAAUAGUUAAGGGGCCUAAACUAAACCAAAUUGUCUGAAAUUUUGUACAGUAAUUAAAAUCCCGACAAAUUUUCCAUCUGUUAACUCAAAAUAUGAUUGCAGCUUUUAAAUUUUGUGCGCGAGCCAUUUUUAGUUUGUUGGAAAAGAC